rnacentral:lncRNA from 1 species
UUCUUAAUCAACUAUAUUCAGCUCACUGAAUUCUGCAGUUAAAGGCUGUUCAGUUAUCAUUGCAAAUAAUUAAAUACAAUUGUUUUGCUUGAUCAUGAAAUGUUAUAUGACGGACAAAACAAACAGCAUGUGAAAAAGGCAAAGAAAUAUGAAUGCCUAUUUCUGAUUAAUUGGAUCUCAUUUUUACAAUCAAAAAUGCCAAGCAAUAGAGAAUAAGCUUACAGACAAUGCAACCACUUUAUUAUAUAUAAUUAUACAUUGUCAGCAUUUAGUAUAUAUGGUCUCAUUUUAGAGGAAGUAUUUAACUGAGAAAUCACAAUUGUUUCUAUUUCAAAAGAGCUAGAAAUAUGUAUAUUUUUGAAAAGUAAUGUUAAUAUAUUCCUGCACUCUGAUUCCUGGUUUUGCUCUUCUAUGUCAGUCUCCUUAAAAGAGACAUCCAAUUACAAGAUGGGGACAAUGACAAAGUUGAAAGCUUUUGAAUUCAGCGUCAAAGUCUGCCCAUGUCAGGUGCACAUCAAUUUACAUGACAUGGGAAGGUCAAAAAUGUCAUUACUAUUGCAAAGUUUAUGACUGCCUUCCUAACAAUAGUUUCAAGAACUGAACUGUAGGUGCUGCAUGUCUCUUAAGCAACAAUUUUAACUUGCUAUCUGUUAACAGAUCCAGUAAAUUUAUUUGCAUCAAGCAGCAAAAAAAUGGCACUUAUUAAUUGAACUUACUAAAUAGUAAUGUGAUUAAACACCACUCCAAAGCUGCAC